rnacentral:lncRNA from 1 species
UAAGUUAUUACAUCAUUUGCUUACUACAAAUUGAUACAUUAUUUUCUUUUCAUUACCCAAACCCCUAGGCUAUGCCGACUCGGGAUACCACUAUCUCUGGUCUCUGGGGUAGGGCGCUAUCUAUGGAGCUACGCCCUUGCAUCGCGCCACCGCGCCGCUCACGUGCGAACCUGUAGCACCCCAAAACAACGUGGGGUGAGAACCAACUCCAUGGUUCCCAGUGGGUACGGCCACCCAAGG